UGAGUAAUGUAUCGGAACGUGCCCAGUAGCGGGGGAUAACUACGCGAAAGCGUAGCUAAUACCGCAUACGCCCCACGGGGGAAAGCAGGGGAUCGCAAGACCUUGCACUAUUGGAGCGGCCGAUAUCGGAUUAGCUAGUUGGUGGGGUAAUGGCUCACCAAGGCGACGAUCCGUAGCUGGUUUGAGAGGACGACCAGCCACACUGGGACUGAGACACGGCCCAGACUCCUACGGGAGGCAGCAGUGGGGAAUUUUGGACAAUGGGGGAAACCCUGAUCCAGCCAUCCCGCGUGUGCGAUGAAGGCCUUCGGGUUGUAAAGCACUUUUGGCAGGAAAGAAAUGGCGUGUGCUAAUACCAUGCGCAGAUGACGGUACCUGCAGAAUAAGCACCGGCUAACUACGUGCCAGCAGCCGC
rnacentral:rRNA from 1 species